CAUGCGGACUAAUUUUAAAAGCCGUUACGUCUGGUGUGACUAUAAGAGUUUUUAGCUUUCAAACUAGUGAAAAAAAUAUGGAUUAUUGGCACAAUACUAGUAUAUUACUAGCGACCAAGACGAAAUACCGUCAGAUUGAAAACGCCAAAAAUGCCUUGCGACUGAAGCUCUCUUAAAUUCCCCUGCCAUCAUCAGUGAUUUGUCUGGUAACAGGGACAUCCAUCCCACUGAUACUAGUUACAUAUUCCCUAACAAAAAAGCAAAGCCUAAAAGCUGUACAAAACCGUGGUUGAGACGUUGCCAGAAAAAUGGGGCAUAUCAAGCCCUUGCACAGGAGAUGAGACUUGAAGACGAAUUCAACCUAUUACUGAACUUGGCCUCCUUUAAAAGAAGAUACCUUCUUCAGAGCUGCCUUACCGGCAGAAGAGAGACCACGACAGGUGACACCUACACAAGUUUAGGAUAUCUGUACAGAAUCUCAAAACAAGCCCUGUUAUUAUCCCCGGUGUGUGUGUGUUGCAAUAUACCAUGUGCUGAAGGACAACUACUUGCAGACACCGAACUCUAAAGAGAAAUGGAUGGAUGUCAAACAAUUUGAGGAUAGGAGGAAUUUUCCUCGAUGCAUCGGAGCAAUGGGUGGCAAGCACAUUGUUCUUCAGGCUCCCAUGAGAUCAGGGUCCACAUACGACAAAUACAAGCAUACCUAUAGCAUCGUGCUACUCGCUGUUGUAGAAUCAUGCUACAGAUUUCUGUACAUAGAUCAUCACAAAAGCAGCAUGGGCCCGACAUAAUUCAACCAAGAGAUGCAGUCUAUCCAGUUGUACAUGCCAAAACAAUCUGUGGAUACAGGACACUGAUUCAAUGACUGUCACCCCAGCACCUUGGGGAAAGGAGGAAAUCACAGGCAUGACCACUGCUACAGCAAGGAAGCAACAUGUCAACAAUCAACGCUUGUGAAAUUCUGGAUGAACUUAUGGAUUAUUUUACUUCUGAGGGGGCUGUUUCUUGGCAGUAGAGAAUGAUAUAAAAACCCUAGGCCAACAUGUAUUCAGGCACAGAUUCAUUAUUUUCGUAUCAAUUUCUUCUAAGCAGUUUCCCAACCCUGGUCCUGGGGAUCGCAGUAUGUGUCUCCUGGUUUUCGAUCCAACUCAGAUCUCAAUUAUUUAAUUGAACUACUAUAUAUAUAUAUAUAUAUAUAU